UGCUCUUACAGAGGGUCCAAGUCUGUUCCCAGGAACUACUCUGGGUGGCUGUCUUAGUUAGGGUUUUAUUGCUGUGAAUAGACACUAUGACCAAGGCAAGUUUUAUAAAACAAAAACCAAAAAAACAGAAAAAAAACAUUUAAUUGUGGCUGGCUUACAGGUUCAGAGGUUCAGUCCCUUAUCAUCAAGGUGGGAACAUGACAGUGACCAGGCGGGCAUGGCGCAGGGAGAGCUGAGAGUUCUACAUCUUCAUCCAAAGGCUGUUAGUGGAAGACUGACUUCCAGGCAACUAGGGUGAAGGUCUUAAGCCCACAUCCACAGUGACACACGUACUCCAACCAGGUCACACCUAUUCUAACAAGGCCAUACCUCCAAAUGGUGCCACUCCCUGGCCCAAGAAUAUACAAACCAUCACAGUGACUCAUCUCGAAUGUCUUGCUUUGGGGGAAUUGAUGGCCUCCUUUGACCUCCAGGGGUACUGCAUUCACAUGCAAUACAGUUGCACACACACACACAG
rnacentral:lncRNA from 1 species